GGAGCAAGGCCAAAUCUUUGGGGAGGGUGUAGGGUGCUGGGAGUGUGAUGGGCGGACAAAUUCACCAAGCUGGGAACCAAUACAAUUUUGGCAAAUAUCACCAACAGCUGAGGAAACAUCAUUGUCAUCAAAGCCUACCUUCUGUGGAGAAAAGAUACUGCAUCUUGAAUCAUUGUUGCCAUUCAAAACACAAACUUUACCUUUUGGACCAAGUCUCUUUUUUGUUUACCUAAGAUUUCUCUGGAAUACAUCCUGGAUACAGAGUCCUACAUUACAAGCUUCAGCUGUCUGGAAACCUUUAUCAAGCAGAUGAGCAAAACUGGCCAUUCCAUUAUAUCGGAAAGUCAAGACAUGGGGACAUCAACAAGAGCCUUUCUUUGACCGCUGGAACUCUUACCUCUCGACUUUGACCUGGGAGGCAUUCAUCAUGCCCUGUUUUAUACUUCAUUAUGUCUUAAACCUCUUAAACUUGCCAUUCAUUUUUACAGAUUUAUUGGUUCAAAGUACUGAGCUCUUGCCUUGUUACAUGAAAACAAUGUUUGGAAUAUUCUUUCAUCCAAAAAAAACUUAUUGCGUUCAAGGUUUUCCUUUGGUAAAAACCGACCGACAAACAUGUGAUGAGUGCAACUAAUACAAAACCUUUAUUUAUCGCCUCUGAAAAUGACAUUUGUUUAGUCUGAGUGUAAAAACUGAAACUGUGUAAACUGUGUGACUGUCUUUUGUUAUAGUAUGUCAGUGAUCCAGACUGUAUGUGUAACCAAAAAAAAAAAAAAAAAAGCUCAUGUUUCGAUCUUAGCGCAGAACAAACUUGGCUUUGCGAUAAGUGAGUAGGUUAUGGAGAGUGAAACUAACCAUGUUUCUGUUGGUCAGAACCCUUCUCCACAAUGUUAACAGCUCUCAGUUUUAGCAAAGACGCUUUAGAUAAAUAUAUUUGUUACAUUUGCUCAUGAUUUCCAGCUUAGAUCAGCUACCAUGCCCAAGAGUACACUGCCCAGUGUGAUUUAGAGGCCAAAUUCAUGCAUCCCAGCUUUUCAACCUGGUUUAAAGGUCUCUAAAGACUGAACAACCACUUUCAUUGAUGUGCAUCUCACUGUGGACUGAGAGACGAUGGGGUUCGAUGAUUGAGAGUGAAGGAAACAAACGCAAUGGUCUCCUGAUCUCAAUGUACCAGAGAAAUACAGAGACAUUCAGAAGCAUGGGAGGUUUUAGUGACUCUGAGCAAUGUGUCUCUCAGAGCACCAAGUCAUCUGAGCUAAUCACGAUCCAAUUUAACUAAGCAGGGUUUGAGAUUUCUUUGCUAGCAGCCAUUAAUUAAGUCCAUUUUUUUUCUUGUCAAGUCCUUUGUCCUGUGUAAUUUGUUGUUUAAUGUAACAAACCGCUGUGGCAUGGCCAUACAAAAGAUGUGGGUAGCGAAGAAAGGCCUCUGCCCUUUUCAACAAAAGCGUCUUUGUGUUUAUAAUAAUCUGUGAAGUUUGAAGUCCAUUUUUGUCAUUCUUUCUUGUUCAUUUUUCCACACUGCAUUAGCAAAGCAUGUGUUUCAUGUGUUUAACAAGUCCUGCAUUAUGCCGUCCAGACAGUAGAACCUUGGAAAGUUUGGUUCUAACCAUGGUGCUGUAUACUUAAUAAAUAUGUGCUGACAUUAA